rnacentral:misc_RNA from 1 species
UCACCCCUCAAACUUCGGUUUAGUCUUGGGCUAAGUUGAUUUCAUCAACGGCCUCAAAAUUAGUGGCGGCGCGAUAUUGAUCCCAAGCGUAGUGACACUAUAUUUUUGCUUUGGUGUUCAGUGACGUGAUUGCCAAAAUUUGACGACUCUUGCAGUCUGAGCUCCAACG